rnacentral:rRNA from 1 species
UACGUAGGCAGCAAGCGUUGUUCGGAAUUACUGGGCGUAAAGAGUGUGUAGGCGGUGCUCUAAGUUUGGUGUGAAAUCUCCCGGCUCAACCGGGAGGGUGCGCCGAAUACUGAGGGACUAGAGUAUGGGAUGGGAAAGUGGAAUUCCUGGUGUAGCGGUGAAAUGCGUAGAUAUCAGGAGGAACACCUGUGGUGUAGACGGCUUUCUGGACCAUAACUGACGCUGAGACACGAAAGCGUGGGUAGCAAACAGG